rnacentral:lncRNA from 9 species
ACGACGGACAGCGGCGCGCGCCGCCGCAGGCGCCCCCGCCGCCAGCCAGCCACCUAUCCUGGCCUUAUCGCCGCGGUGCGCUCCGGGAGCGGGUGGCCGCGCUCCGCGCCGCCGCCGAGGGACUGCGGGGGUCUGCCUCGGCCCGCCUCCGGGGAGGGCGGCUGCGGACGAAAGACUCUUCCACCCGCUGAUGCUCCAAGCCUUUACGGCUUUCGCGGGGGCUACUGCGUCUAGCCGACUGAGAACAAGUCCCCAAGUUGGCGUGGGGGCGCCCCUGCUUUCCUCCUCUUCCUCCGAGGCGACCGCAGAAGCACGCCUCGGGAGCCAGGUUUUGCCGGUGCUGUGAACAGGGUAGCCAGGAGCUCUCUGGACUCCCACUGGGAAGUGGGGAGCUGAACGCCCGGCGCGGGGCUGGCCCCGCAGCUAAGGGCUGGAGGGAGCUGCCUUCCCCCACCCGCGCCUCUCUCGGCCGGGGACCGCGGGGAUCCCCGGCCACACGCGCGCGCGCGCUCCCACAUUCACUCACACACACACUCGCUCUCACACACACAUCAGCUUGGAGCCUGGGCUGCGGAGAGGGCUCUUGGGCGCGCUCAGAGGAUCGGGCAGCUGCUGUCCGGAGUCGGGCAGGAAGCCGAGCUCAGGCUCUUGGAGGGAGGCGCCGAAGCCUUAGCCGGAGCAUGGGGCCGGGUGAGCGCUGACAGUCGCGGCCGCAGCCAUCAGCCCUGGAGAUGACCAGGGGCGGCCACUGCUGAGAACUAUGUGGAGAGAGGCUGCGAGCCCUGCUGCAGAGCCUCCGGCUGGGAUAGCCGCCCCCCGUGGGGGCGAUGCGGACAGCGCGGGACAGCCAGGGGAGCGCGCGGGGGCCGCAGCAUGCGGGAACCUGCUAAACCCGGUGGCUGCUGAGGCGGCCGAGAUGCUCGUGCGCGCAGCGCGCCCCACUGCAUCCUCGACCUUCUCCGGCUACAGGUACGACCCAGCGGGAGACUUGGGCUCGGCGGGCCGGGGAGAAGAAAGACUCGACCAGAGGGAGAGCUGGAGAAGGAUCUGGGGAGAGGGAGAGAGAAAGCGGGAGAGGGAGCAUCGGUAGCGAGGCGCGGGAUGAGCACCAGGGGGCGCUGCGGCUCCGCGCUCCGCAGAGCUCUGCCGAAGAGCGUCGAGGCAGGUGCAAGUUCGCCCCAACUUCCCUUGGUUCCAGCAGCGCCGGGCCCAAGGGGCGCGCGCCAGUGCUCGCGCGCCCAACUGUGCCGAUAUUUGCAGGCAGGGGCUCUGUGCACCUGGCCCGCUACAUGUGUGUGCACCGCCUGAGAACGUGUGCGGACUCGGGAUGGCCUUGGGCUUCUUUGCGGCCUGCGGCUGUGCGCAGAAAUGCGCGCGUGCCUGUGAGGGUGAGCAGCCCACUGCUGACGUGCACCUAAGACUUGGUAACAGAACCUGAAGUGAAAAGCCUGGGGUAGAGGGGGGGAGCGCUGUACAGUUCACCUCGGUCAGCUUCUUGGGAGCCCACCUUCCCUGCUUCUCUCCCCCACCCCACGCACGUUCUUUGCCAGCUCCCACGUGUCGGCCCGCGGGGGGACGUGCCUCUUCUCCGGAAUUCUGCAUUGCACAUGGCAUGCGUGAGAGAUUGUGUGUGUGUGUGCGCGCGCGUGUGUUUGCACGCGCGCUCGUAUAGGGGGCGGGUCCUAGGACUGCUUGCAGCUGAGUGAAAAUCAAUUCACCGCUCUUCUGCGCGAGGUAGGGCGGACUCUAAGUUCCCCCCCAGGUACCCUGGAUCCUGGGGCGCACAAGCAAGCGUCCUCACUCUCAUGUGCUUGGGGUGUACCCCGCAGGAGAGGUGCGGGGUCUGCAGCGGGUGUCAAGUAGAGGCAGGUGGGUGCGAAACCCAGCGGGUUCGCAGGGGGCGGGGUCAGUCAACUAGCUUAGCGCGGGAGCAGGGAUGCACAGUCUCUGCCGCCUCCGCACUCCUGAGCGGGUUCUCAGUUUGCUCCCUGUGAGCAGGAAGCGGGGUCCGUAACUGGGUCUGCACUGGCAGGGGUGGGUGGAGGGUUGUUCUGUGCUCCUACGCUCAGGGGCAGUGGUCCAAAGCUAACUUCGGGGAUGCGGUGGGAGAUGUGGGUAGAGCCGGAGAUGGAGAGGAGGCUGGAGUCUCGGGAUGAGGAGGAGGCUGAAUGUGAAGAUGGAUUUGGGGACAGGGAUGGAGAAUUAGCUCGGAUUGUCGUUGUGGAUAGAUCUGGAGAUGGGUCGCGGGAUGUGGACGGCGUCUGGAAUGGGGAAUGGAAUCAGUGACUCCAGCAACUCUCGCUGGGCAUGGGUUCCAUACCUGGCUCCUAGAGUAAGGGGCUGGGUUGGUAAUCCCUUUUGUCUAGAAUCCUCGAACACCGCGGUCCUGACUCUUCCUCUCCAUCUUGC